rnacentral:rRNA from 1 species
AAAUUGAAGAGUUUGAUCAUGGCUCAGAUUGAACGCUGGCGGCAGGCCUAACACAUGCAAGUCGAGCGGUAGCACAGAGAGCUUGCUCUCGGGUGACGAGCGGCGGACGGGUGAGUAAUGUCUGGGAAACUGCCUGAUGGAGGGGGAUAACUACUGGAAACGGUAGCUAAUACCGCAUAACGUCGCAAGACCAAAGUGGGGGACCUUCGGGCCUCAUGCCAUCAGAUGUGCCCAGAUGGGAUUAGCUAGUAGGUGGGGUAAC